rnacentral:rRNA from 1 species
CCUACGGGGGGCAGCAGUGAGGAAUAUUGGUCAAUGGGCGCGAGCCUGAACCAGCCAAGUCGCGUGAGGGAAGACGGUCCUAUGGAUUGUAAACCUCUUUUGUCGGGGAGCAAAAGACGCCACGCGUGGCGUUCCGAGAGUACCCGAAGAAAAAGCAUCGGCUAACUCCGUGCCAGCAGCCGCGGUAAUACGGAGGAUGCGAGGGUUAUCCGGAUUUCUUGGGUUGAACGGGUGCGCAGGCGGUCGGAUAAGUUAGAGGUGAAAUCCCUAGGCUCCCCGUCGGAAUUGCCUCUGAUACUGUUCGGCUAGAGCGUAGUUGCGGUAGGCGGAAUGUUUUGUGUAGCUGU